rnacentral:tRNA from 3 species
GGAGAGAUGGCCGAGUGGUUGAAGGCGCACGCCUGGAACGCGUGUAGGCUCGCAAGGGUCUCGUGGGUUCGAAUCCCACUCUCUCCGCCA